UACGUAGGGUGCAAGCGUUGUCCGGAAUUAUUGGGCGUAAAGAGCUCGUAGGCGGUUUGUUGCGUCGGCUGUGAAAUCCCGAGGCUCAACCUCGGGUCUGCAGUCGAUACGAGCAAACUGGAGUGUUGCAGGGGAGACUGGAAUUCCUGGUGUAGCGGUGAAAUGCGCAGAUAUCAGGAGGAACACCGGUGGCGAAGGCGGGUCUCUGGGCCGUAACUGACGCUGAGGAGCGAAAGCGUGGGGAGCGAACAGG
rnacentral:rRNA from 1 species